AUUCUCAAACUUUGCAAAUUUCUCUCUCUCUCUCUCUCUCUCUCUCUCUCUCUCUCACAUCAAAUCCCAUCGAAACCCUCCCCCUCUUUCUGUGGCUUCUUCUCUGUCUCCCUCUCUCACAAUCUAUGGCUUCUCUCUCACCGGAACAUUCAGGAGCUUCAACUCCUCAUCAGCUACAAGACAAUUGCUCGAGGCCAAUGGCUUCGAAGGUGAAGGCUGCGUGACAAUUCCUAAAGUGCGAUUUUCUCUUAAUAAAGAUGAGUUACUUCAAAUGGUGAGAUUUGGUGCUGAAAUGGUGUUGCUCAUAUGCUUGCACAAUUGUCUAAGGCCUUCGAGAUAAAUUUUAUGGCUUAAUAUCUAUGUUUGCACCAAAGCAGGUGGAACUUUCAAGAGAGUGUUUUUGAUUGAUCAUAUCUUUUAGUAGCUUUGAUUGCAUCUCUUUUUGCACCAUGUAGAGUUUAAUUAGCUUUGGUUAUGUUUCAGAAAUGUAUCAAAUAUCCCUUUUCAGUUUCUGUUUUCACAUAAUCUGUUUUCACAUAAUCACCAUCCCUGUUUUUCAAGUAUUUCAUGUUCUGUUAUUGACUUCAAGCGUAUAAUAUUGCAUUUCGUGUUCUGUUAUUUCAUGUUUUGUUCACCAAAAGUACUUAAGCCAUUGCUUCUACUGUUUCUAUCAGAGCUGCCGAACUUGGUAUUAAUCUUGCUAUUGCAGAUAUUGUCAUUCUUUAUGACAGUGAUAGGUAUUAAUCGUGCACUGAGAUGAUACAUUUCCAGCUAUGCAUUGAUGGCUUUGGUUGCCCUGCAAAUUUGGUAAUUAUUGUUGGAAAUCCCUCCUUAGUGGAGGAAUAGUUUUUGUCUUAAUGAUGAUGCUUUUGGUAGGAGAUAAGGUGCAAUGAUGGGUGAGGUUCUUUGACCAACAUUAUUGUUUCCUUGGACAUGCGGCUGGUUACUUUGCAUGCACGUGGGCUGUUUUUUGGAGUUGAAAAAUCAGCCAUUCUUUUAUGGUUUAUAAAAGGGAAGGGUGCAUGCAUGUGGUAUUUAAAUUUUUUUUUUUUAACUUGCUAAACAGAGUAUGAGAAGAGUAUCAGAAGAAAGGUUUAGAGUAUCACAGAAUCAUCAUCCCUGUUUUUCUUAAUUUUUUGCUGGCUCAUCUGUUUUCACAGAAAUGUAUCAUUUGCUUGUGUUAUGUUGCUGGCUCAUCUGUUUGGUUUUUUAAUUUUUUUUAAACUUACUAAACAUAGUAUCAGAAGAAAGGUUUAGAGUAUCACAAGAAAUGUUUCUGGUUUCAAUUAUGUGUCCUUUGUAUUACUUACAACAUCUCUCUCUCUCUCUCUCUCUCUCUCUCUCACAGAUAGAAACCAGAAAGACGCUUUUUUAUUUGGGUGAAAACCCUAACUGGAAAGUCCAUCACUCUUGAGG